rnacentral:rRNA from 1 species
UGGGGAAUUUUGGACAAUGGGCGCAAGCCUGAUCCAGCCAUGCCGCGUGCGGGAAGAAGGCCUUCGGGUUGUAAACCGCUUUUGUCAGGGAAGAAAUCUUCUGAGUUAAUACCUCGGGAGGAUGACGGUACCUGAAGAAUAAGCACCGGCUAACUACGUGCCAGCAGCCGCGGUAAUACGUAGGGUGCAAGCGUUAAUCGGAAUUACUGGGCGUAAAGCGUGCGCAGGCGGUUUUGUAAGACAGAGGUGAAAUCCCCGGGCUCAACCUGGGAACUGCCUUUGUGACUGCAAGGCUUGAGUGCGGCAGAGGGGGAUGGAAUUCCGCGUGUAGCAGUGAAAUGCGUAGAUAUGCGGAGGAACACCGAUGGCGAAGGCAAUCCCCUGGGCCUGCACUGACGCUCAUGCACGAAAGCGCGGGGAGCAAACAGGAUUAGAUACCCUGGUAGUCCACGCCCUAAACGAUGUC